UGGGGAAUAUUGCACAAUGGGCGGAAGCCUGAUGCAGCGACGCCGCGUGGGGGAUGAAGGCCUUCGGGUUGUAAACUCCUUUCGACAGGGACGAAGCUUUUGUGACGGUACCUGUAUAAGAAGCACCGGCUAACUACGUGCCAGCAGCCGCGGUAAUACGUAGGGUGCGAGCGUUGUCCGGAAUUACUGGGCGUAAAGAGCUCGUAGGUGGUUUGUCGCGUCGUCUGUGAAAUUCCGGGGCUUAACUCCGGGCGUGCAGGCGAUACGGGCUGGCUUGAGUGCUGUAGGGGAGACUGGAAUUCCUGGUGUAGCGGUGAAAUGCGCAGAUAUCAGGAGGAGCACCGAUGGCGAAGGCAGGUCUCUGGGCAGUAACUGACGCUGAGGAGCGAAAGCAUGGGUAGCGAACAGG
rnacentral:rRNA from 1 species